rnacentral:rRNA from 1 species
UACGUAGGGUGCGAGCGUUGUCCGGAAUUACUGGGCUUAAAGGGUGCGUAGGCUGUGCGGAAAGUUGGGCGUGAAAUACCUCAGCUUAACUGAGGAACUGCGUUCAAAACUACCGUGCUUGAGGGAGACAGAGGUAAGCGGAACUGAGGGUGGAGCGGUGAAAUGCGUUGAUAUCCUCAGGAACACCGGUGGCGAAAGCGGCUUACUGGGUCUCUUCUGACGCUGAUGCACGAAAGCUAGGGGAGCAAACGGG